AUGAGCGUAUACACAUGCAAACUUUUCGAGUAUUUCUUCUCUCAACUACAUCUGAUGGAGAGAAGAGGUCAACGCCAGUCAAUCCCAAAAUUUUGCAAAUCUGCAAAUUAAAAGCUUUUGCCAAGUGGCCUUGUGUUGUGGCUUCUACUUGGUGGUCAAGUUUUUUAUGAUUGAUUUGGACUUUUAGUUCCAUUGGAGCGAGUGUCAUGGAGAUGCCGAAAGAAGUUCUAAAGGCCUUGUAGUUGGUUGAAGACAUCUAGGAAUUAUGCACCUCAGUCGCACCAUUUCUCACCUUGGUCGCACCAUUUCUCUCCAUUGUUUUCUUGCUUAUCAACCUUGUAUUUUCUGGUUUCAUUAUCAUUUGAUAUUUUGAUGUAACUUUGUAUUGUCCUCUCCAAGCUGCAAGUGUUGUGAAUAUACUUCACUUCCAGCUUACGGGAAUAUUAGAGAUGUAGAUAGUCUGGCCAUAUAAAUCACACCACAUACUAUUGUAACUCGAUUUACUCAUUUUGAGUAAUGUCCUAAUAAUACGCACUUUUACCUUUCCUCCA